rnacentral:rRNA from 1 species
AUUGAACGCUGGCGGCGUGCCUAACACAUGCAAGUCGAGCGGUAACAGGUGUAGCAAUACAUGCUGACGAGCGGCGGACGGGUGAGUAACGCUUGGGAAUCUGCCUAUUAGUGGGGGACAACCCGGGGAAACUCGGGCUAAUACCGCAUACGCUCUACGGAGGAAAGCCGGGGACCGCAAGGCCUGGCGCUAAUAGAUGAGCCCAAGUCGGAUUAGCUAGUUGGUAGGGUAAUGGCCUACCAAGGCGACGAUCCGUAACUGGUCUGAGAGGACGACCAGUCACACCGGAACUGAGACACGGUCCGGACUCCUACGGGAGGCAGCAGUGGGGAAUAUUGGACAAUGGGCGAAAGCCUGAUCCAGCGACGCCGCGUGGGUGAAGAAGGCCUGC